rnacentral:rRNA from 1 species
AACGAACGCUGGCGGCAUGCCUAACACAUGCAAGUCGAACGAGACCUUCGGGUCUAGUGGCGCACGGGGGCGUAACGCGUGGGAACCUGCCCUUAGGUUCGGAAUAACUCCCCGAAAGGGGUGCUAAUACCGGAUAAUGUCUUCGGACCAAAGAUUUAUCGCCUUUGGAUGGGCCCGCGUUGGAUUAGCUAGUUGGUAGGGUAAAAGCCUACCAAGGCGACGAUCCAUAGCUGGUCUGAGAGGCUGAUCAGCCACACUGGGACUGAGACACGGCCCAGACUCCUACGGGAGGCAGCAGUGGGGAAUAUUGGACCGUGGGCGAAAGCCUGAUCCAGCAAUGCCGCGUGAGUGAUGAAGGCCUUAGGGUUGUAAAGCUCUUUUACCCGGGAUGAUAAUGACGGUACCGGGAGAAUAAGCUCCGGCUAACUCCGUG